ensembl:lncRNA
AUGGGAUUCACCUCUGAACACUCAGCUUUGGCCUCAAAUGGCCAUGAGAGGGAGCCCUUGGAAUUGCUCGGGGCCUCUGUGCUUCCAGUGAAAGGAACCUUUCCACCAGUUCUCGAAGGCGCCCAAGAGGAAAGGACGUCUAAGUGCAUAGAAAUGGAAGCAGGUUGGAAAUUCAAUACGACGCCCACCUCGGGAUGUAUUUUAGCACCGGUGUUUUUCUCUUUCCCAGGACAUUCUCCAGUAAGCGUUCGCUCUGUGUCCCCCCACACCCACUUCUCCUGUCCUGACCUUCCUGCAGAUGCAGUUUUGAGACCACACAGGUUCCCAGGUCACUGGCAGCAUUUAUCAGAGAACACAAGGCAGCUGCUUCCUUAAGGAUCACCUGGGGUCACAUUCAGACUGGAGAUGUUGCCAGAAGCCAAUCCACCUCUGCGGGGACUCUGGUUGACCCAGGAGUUCCUCUGCUCCUGAGGGAACUGCUGAGGGGCUUGGGCCGUGACUCCAGGACCAAGGGUUUUGGGGGGGACUUUCCUUCCCCUGGCCAAGGAAAAGGAAAUGGGGCUACCAGCUGCUGCUCUGGGAGGCUAGAGGCUCAUCUGUAUACCGUGCACCCUUUCCAAGGCUCUGUUCUCUGAGGGCUUCUCGAAACACCCACUUUAAUCAGAGUUCAGCUGGAUUUGAAGGUUGACAUGAUUAGAUGUGUCAAAAAACGUUAAAGUCGAAUAACACCCAAUGCUGUCAAGAAUGUGGAGGAAAGGAGACACGCACGCACUGUUGAUGUGUCAGCUGGUGUCCAAUUCGGACGGAGUUUGUGUCUCUAUUAGAAUGCGAAAUAGAUAUGCCCUCCGACUCAGCGAUUCCACUUCUAAGAGCCAGUUCUACAGAAAUAUGUGCCCAUGGACACAAAGAAUUGGGCAUGAAGAUGUUUGCAGAAAUGUUGUUUGUGACUGCAAAAUAAUUAAAAAGCCACCAAAUCAAAAAACCAAACACCUGGCAUUUGUCCCCGGCUUUACUGAGAUUUAAUUGACAAGCCUCGGAUUUAGACACUGUGGCAGUACUGGGAUAGGGUAUGCUCCGCCGUCACUAAAAAGAAUGACGUAAACCUACAGAUGCUGAUUAGAAGGACCUCAAAAUGGGCCUUUUAAUGAAAACAAAUAAAGGAUACAAUUAUGUGUACAGUAUGACCCCAUUUAUGUGGAAAACAAAACAGAAUAAAGGUAAAGUCAAAGGGAAUGUGGGAAGGUGGGGGACGAACACACCCCACAUUGAGGGUAGUGGUGAUUUAUGAAAGGUUGUAGGUUGGAAAACAAUUGAAAAGCAUUUCAGUUUUUAGUUUGUAAGCUCUUCUGUUGUUUGAAAUGUUUCUCAAUGAGCACAUAUUUAUGUAUAUUGGGUUGUUUGCCAGGACACCCACCUCGGAACAGUCCUGCUCAGAACCUCUGAAGUCAGUUGACUUCAUUCAGUGAACAUUUUCCAUGUGAGCCUCUGCCCUGCACAGCUCUGCAUUGGGUGCUGAGGACAUCAGAGCCAUUGUCCCCAUCCCCAGGGAGUGCAGUGGCCUGCAGGGAGAGGCGGAUGGACAGAUAAGGACUGCGCAGUGUAAGAAGCUGUGAGGGGUGUCCUUUGUAAUGAUGGCAGGGGCAGAAGGCAGGCGAGGCCAGUUACCCUGGAC